CCCUUGGUGGUGUAGAUGGUUAUCGCGUUCGACUGUAAAUCGAAAUGUCGCCGGUUCGAUUCCGGCCCGAGGGA
rnacentral:tRNA from 1 species